GGUAGUCCAUGCCGUAAACGUUGGGCACUAGGUGUGGGGGACAUUCCACGUUUUCCGCGCCGUAGCUAACGCAUUAAGUGCCCCGCCUGGGGAGUACGGCCGCAAGGCUAAAACUCAAAGGAAUCGACGGGGGCCCGCACAAGCGGCGGAGCAUGCGGAUUAAUUCGAUGCAACGCGAAGAACCUUACCAAGGCUUGACAUGAACCGGAAAGGCCUGGAAACAGGUCCCCCACUUGUGGUCGGUUUACAGGUGGUGCAUGGUUGUCGUCAGCUCGUGUCGUGAGAUGUUGGGUUAAGUCCCGCAACGAGCGCAACCCUCGGUCUAUGUUGCCAGCACGUGAUGGUGGGGACUCAUAGGAGACUGCCGGGGUCAACUCGGAGGAAGGUGGGGACGACGUCAAAUCAUCAUGCCCCUUAUGUCUUGGGCUUCACGCAUGCUACAAUGGCCGGUACAAAGGGUUGCGAUACUGUGAGGUGGAGCUAAUCCCAAAAAGCCGGUCUCAGUUCGGAUUGGGGUCUGCAACUCGACCCCAUGAAGUCGGAGUCGCUAGUAAUCGCAGAUCAGCAACGCUGCGGUGAAUACGUUCCCGGGCCUUGUACACACCGCCCGUCAAGUCACGAAAGUUGGUAACACCCGAAGCCGGUGGCCUAACCCCUUGUGGGAGGGAGCUGUCGAAGGUGGGACUGGCGAUUGGGACUAAGUCGUAACAAGGUAGCCGUACCGGAAGGUGC
rnacentral:rRNA from 1 species